AGCGGCGAUUAGUGGAUGCUGCUGUUAUUGUCCUCUAGAUGGCAGUAGUGCUGAGCACACAGUUAGCAGAGGCAUUAUCCGAGUAAAAGCUCAGAGCAAGGAAAACUCGUGUGGAGGUUCAGUGCUGAAGAAAUCACGACAACACACUCCAGCUUUUAUAUUGAACCUUCUGCUGCCAGACUGUUUAUCUGACGGACACUUCAGCUGCUUGCCUUUAUUCAGUAUAUAUUGGGGCUCAACUGUAAAUUCCUCUACAGAAGCGAUCAGGAACGCUGGACUUUGUUAUUUCAGCUGAUAUUUCAUACACAAACAGGCCUGACUGGGGAGACAUGCAAGUUAAAAUGAGAGGAAAAACAAAAUCAC